GCCGGAGGGCGCUAUCGUUGUUCGGAAUCACUGGGCGUAAAGGGCGCGUAGGCGGCGCCGGCAGUCGGCCGUGAAAGCCCGGGGCUCAACCCCGGAGGUGCGGCCGAGACGCCGGUGCUGGAGGCCGGAAGAGGAGGGUGGAAUACCCAGUGUAGAGGUGAAAUUCGUAGAUAUUGGGUGGAACACCGGUGGCGAAAGCGGCUCUCUGGUCCGGACCUGACGCUGAGGCGCGAAAGCGUGGGGAGAAAACAGG
rnacentral:rRNA from 1 species